rnacentral:rRNA from 1 species
GACGAACGCUGGCGGCGUGCUUAACACAUGCAAGUCGAACGGAAAGGCCCUGCUUUUGUGGGGUGCUCGAGUGGCGAACGGGUGAGUAACACGUGAGUAACCUGCCCUUGACUUUGGGAUAACUUCAGGAAACUGGGGCUAAUACCGGAUAGGAUCUCCUGCUGCAUGGUGGGGGUUGGAAAGUUUCGGCGGUUGGGGAUGGACUCGCGGCUUAUCAGCUUGUUGGUGGGGUAGUGGCUUACCAAGUCUUUGACGGGUAGCCGGCCUGAGAGGGUGACCGGCCACAUGGGGACUGAGAUAGGGCCCAGACUCCAACGGGAGGCAGCAGGGGGGAAUAUGACACAAUGGGCGGAAGCCUGAUGAAGCAACGCCGGGUGCGGGAUGACGGCCUUCGGGUUGUAAACCGCUUUCGCAUGUGACGAAGCGUGAGUGACGGUAAUGGGUGAAGAAGCACCGGCUAACUACGUG